UGGGGAAUAUUGGACAAUGGGCGAAAGCCUGAUCCAGCCAUGCGCGUGUGUGAAGAAGGUCUUCGGAUUGUAAAGCACUUUAAGUUGGGAGGAAGGGCAGUAAGCGAAUACCUUGCUGUUUUGACGUUACCGACAGAAUAAGCACCGGCUAACUCUGUGCCAGCAGCCGCGGUAAUACAGAGGGUGCAAGCGUUAAUCGGAAUUACUGGGCGUAAAGCGCGCGUAGGUGGUUCGUUAAGUUGAAUGUGAAAGCCCCGGGCUCAACCUGGGAACUGCAUCCAAAACUGGCGAGCUAGAGUAGGGCAGAGGGUGGUGGAAUUUCCUGUGUAGCGGUGAAAUGCGUAGAUAUAGGAAGGAACACCAGUGGCGAAGGCGACCACCUGGGCUCAUACUGACACUGAGGUGCGAAAGCGUGGGGAGCAAACAGG
rnacentral:rRNA from 1 species